CGCUCUUCUUUGGACCCUGAUACUCAACUUCCAGCGCGGAGGAGUGGUCUGUACUUUUGAAAGUUGCUCUGCGACUUUCCAUGUUUCUUCCCAGGAGGCGAAAUGAUGCGAUCAGCCGGGAUGAAGUGGGAAUCGUGAUUUCGGCGGACUCGACGGCCAGUCACAUUAGGAAAUGCCCCUUCACACUGAGAAACUGUCUAUGAAGAGAAGGCUCUAUGUUUGGCAGUGAGCUUGUUCUCUUACCAUUACCCUGUCCCCCCUUUUUACUCAAGAUUAUUUGGCUGCAAGGGGAAGCAAUAUAAUAAAAAUAUCACUCAGUCUCUG